rnacentral:rRNA from 1 species
CAAUAGCGUAUAUUAAAGUUGUCGCAGUUAAAAAGCUCGUAGUUGGAUUUCUGUCGAGAACGAGCGGUCUGCCCACUGGGUUUGUAUCGAUUCGGUUUUGGCAUCUUCUUGAGGAACGUGUCUGCACUUCACUGUGUGGCUCGCUACUCAGGACUUUUACUUUGAGGAAAUUAGAGUGUUUCAAGCAGGCAGCCGCCUUGAAUACAUUAGCAUGGAAUAAUAAGAUAGGACUUUGGUUCAUUUUUGUUGGUUUCUUGAGCUGAAGUAAUGAUUAAUAGGGAUAGUUGGGGGCAUUCGUAUUUAACUGUCAGAGGUGAAAUUCUUAGAUUUGUUAAAGACGAACUACUGCGAAAGCAUUUGCCAAGGAUGUUUNCAUUG